CACACAAAACCCUCCCAAGGAAACAGAACAGAGAGAGAGAAGGCUGAGUCGCGGCGGGGGAGAGGAGAAGGGAGCUCGCCGUCGCGCCACCACGCCACCACCUCACGCCUUGCCACUGGGCCACACGCCUCGCCGCCGUCAUCUUCGCGAGAAUGAAGGAAGCUCUUGCUGCCACUGCUGCUCGUAUAACCGACGCCGUCGCGGGUUAGAACUCAGGCGUGAGAGAAGGUCGCGAAGAAGGAGGGAACUGCGCCGCUCAGCCGCCGUCUGAGAAGCCUGGGUCACCAUUCUGCCUCGCCAUCACCACGGAAGCUGCACCCAGCCCAGCCGCGCCGCCUUCCCUGCGCCGUUGUAGAGCAGAUCUGAGGCGAAGGAGAUGACCGCGAUGGGAGGAAAGAGUCACGCCACCCAGUCGCUGACCUGCUCGCCGCCAGCGUCGCUGGUGUCGUCGCCGGAGAGGACCACUGGAGUUGCUGUCUGCCUCUGCUGGGGUUCGUCGCCAUCGGAGUUUCCCUGGCCGACAGAUGUGACCGCCGCCCUCCUAGCCGCCGCUGUUGGGGUCUCACCGCCGCCGGAAAAAGGUUCUGGCCGCCGCAGGAGUCACUGUCAAAGGGGGACGCUGUGCCUCUGUGUUUCUGACUGCCGGAGAUGGUUCUAUGACUUCCGGGAUCACCGCUGAAGCUUCAGGCAGAGUUUCUGCCACUUGAGACCUUGCUGCCGUCGCCGGAAAUGUUUGCCGGUAAGGGUUUCAUUUGAGGUUUCUGCCUUUUUGAUUUUCGAGAUGGUUUUGAUGCUGUGCGAUUUUUCUAGUUGACCCACCAGAGUUUCUGGCCGCCGCCGGAGCUGUUGCUGCCGCCGGUUCGAAAUCGCAAUUGCUUCGUUUCGCUAGUUCAGUUGAGGCGAAAAAGGACUCUGUGACGUGUUUGAGUUAUGGAAAUUGCGUUUUGAGGAUUUGGGCGCAGAAGUUAUGAAGAGUUUAUUUAGUUGUUGUUGAGAUGCUCUGUAUUGCUUUAGAUUAUUAUUUUUGUACCCUCGCCUUUAUUUUGAUAUAUUCUGUGAGAGGGAUAGGAAUUGUACUGGAUAAUGUUUGUAAUAUUAUUUAUAUAUAUGUAUGUAUAUAUAUACGGAUGUACUCUUUAUGAGUUUUUGUAAGUUGUAUGGUAUGUAUGGAUGUACGUUGUAUAGCAAAAGUAUUUUUGGGAGCGGUAUUGCGGUUUAAAGUUUUUAAACAGGCUCAUAUUUUAGUAUUAAAUAGUAUAAGUGUCGUCGUAAUGUCCGAGCUAUCAGAGUUGCGCAGCCGGAAGCGUGAGCUUUGGUAGUUAGGGUGUUACACCUUUAAUUUGCAGAUAAUUAUUUUAUUAACUCUAAUAUUUUUUAUAUUUGUAAAGACCAAAUUAAAAAAUAAAAAAUAAUAUAGAAACUCAAUUUAAAAAAA